CGCGUAGGCGGGAAGGAAAGUCAGAUGUGAAAUCCCGGGGCUCAACCCCGGAACAGCAUUUGAAACUCCCUUUCUUGAGGGUAGACGGAGAAAAUGGAAUUCCACAAGUAGCGGUGAAAUGCGUAGAUAUGUGGAAGAACACCAGUGGCGAAGGCGAUUUUCUAGUUUACACCUGACGCUGAGGCGCGAAAGCAAGGGGAUCAAACA
rnacentral:rRNA from 1 species